GGCCCCUACCCCUACAAAGGCCUCUACCCUUACAAAGGCCCCUACCCCUACAAAGGCCCCUACCCCUACAAAGGCCCCUACUCCUACAAAGGCCCCUACCCCUACAAAGGCCCCUACUCCUACAAAUGCCCCUACCCCUACAAAGGCCCCUACUCCUACAAAUGCCCCUACCCCUACAAAGGCCCCUACUCCUACAAAGGCCCCUACCCCUACAAAGGUCACUGCCCCUACAAGGCCACUAACCCGCUCCCAUUUCAGUUAUCCAAGGCAGGGUAUCACAGUCUGGCUGACCUGGUCCCCCCAGACGGUGCUUAUCUUUAACAACAGGGGCCUGGAGGUCACAAGGGCCUCUUCAGGACAAUGCCCUGAAGAGGUCGGGGCCACAGUGACCUCUAUCAGACCCCAAGUCCCCUCACAACACUGUGUACAGGAAGUGAUAGAGCCUCAAUGCCAAGACAGCUGUGAAUCACUAAGACCCUGGCAGAAGAGAAACCUCAAAAAGAAAUGUCGCAUUCCGGGAAGACAGGGGGCCUCCCAUACCCAGCCUUGGGGGCCAGUUCCCACUUCUCCAUUCUCUGGCAACAGAAUAAACUCGGGUUCUCUUUGCUUUUCAACCCUGAUUGGUUACUUAGAGCAACAGGGUGAAGUGACCCAACAGUCUUUGUUUAGGGAGUCUCUCCUGAGAAGGGGACAUACACUGGGAACUUUUCUUCCUCACCCCUUUGGGGUGCCCUCAGCCUCAGCCUGGGGACUUCUGUGUAUCCUGGGAGGGGCACAUUUUCCACAUUCUCUGGUGUCACUUGCCAGCAAACUUUCCAGGUACCCUCACUCAGAUGACUUGUAUGUGUAUAUCAUUUAUGCUCAUGCUGGUCCCUGCAGCCCUGGGCAGUGGGGCCAGGAUGGCCUGCCCUCUGCAUAGAAAAUGGAGCACAGCCGAACAUCCAGGAGCCAGGGCCAGACACAGUGGAGAUCAGUGAUGGACAGGAACCCACCUUAACCAGGACUGUUUAGCUGGGCAUAACUCUUGC
rnacentral:lncRNA from 1 species